rnacentral:rRNA from 1 species
UGGCUUUCUGAUUAGGUACCGUCAAGAUGUGCACAGUUACUUACACAUAUGUUCUUCCCUAAUAACAGAGUUUUACGAUCCGAAGACCUUCAUCACUCACGCGGCGUUGCUCCGUCAGGCUUUCGCCCAUUGCGGAAGAUUCCCUACUGCUGCCUCCCGUAGGAGUCUGGACCGUGUCUCAGUUCCAGUGUGGCCGAUCACCCUCUCAGGUCGGCUAUGCAUCGUUGCCUUGGUAAGCCGUUACCUUACCAACUAGCUAAUGCAGCGCGGAUCCAUCUAUAAGUGACAGCAAGACCGUCUUUCACUUUUGAACCAUGCGGUUCAAAAUAUUAUCCGGUAUUAGCUCCGGUUUCCCGAAGUUAUCCCAGUCUUAUAGGUAGGUUAUCCACGUGUUACUCACCCGUCCGCCGCUAACAUCAGAGAAGCAAGCUUCUCGUCCGUUCGCUCGACUUGCAUGUAUUAGGCACGCCGCCAGCGUUCAUCCUGAGCCAGGAUCAAACCCUU